UGGCACAAUUGUCAAUAUUGAUAUUUGUUGUAAAUGACAAUGUUUCACUCUGCUCAUAUGCAAUAUGAUAACAUAUGACGUCAUUGGAUGAAAAAACAUUUUACAGUGAAUUUGGAUGAAGAGACUUUAAAGAGGCUCAAAUCAGAGACUUCAUUAAUCAGAGUAUGCUAUAUAGGUACAUAAAGUGCUUAAUUAUUGUGGUUGUCUCACCUAGUUAUAUUAAUAUGAAUGGAUAGAGAUGCUCUGGAUAAGAGUGUCUGCUAAAUGACUCAAAUGUAAAUGAUAAAACAUGAGUAUUACUUGCUAUAAUAUUUCCUAUAUUAAUAGUGUAAAAUACUGUAAUUGUAUGUAAAGAUGUGUAAUGCUUUAUGAGUAUAGUAAAGCUCUACAAAGCUGUGUGGAGCUAUAUGAGUGGUUCUGUUAGUGCAGGGUGAGCUCACUCUUGUGUGAAGGAGGUUUUUGUACGGCGUCUUAACUAGACUGUAUCACUGUGGUACACGUUCGGUGGAGGGACCAAACUGCUGCUGAAAACUGGUCCUACUGUCAGUCCCACAGUGUCUCUGCUCCCCCCCUCCUCUGAGCAGCUCUCUGGGGGCUCUGCCUCACUGGCCUGCCUGCUGACUGACUACUCCCCUCAGGGGGCGCUGGUGAGCUGGGAGGUGGACGGGCUGGAGGUGAGACAGGGGGUCGUGACCAGUCCAGAAGAAGAGAAGGAAGGCCUUUACAGACGCAGCAGCACCCUGACCCUGAGCAAGGCAGGCUGGGAGCAGGGAGAACUCUACACCUGCAGGGUCUCCCACUUCCAACACACCCAGGCCUCCCCUCUUCGCAGGAGCCAGUGUCUGGUCUAGGGCCUAGUAGAGGAGGCCCACAACAGGAGCUCUGUCUGGGGAAGCAGGAGUAGACGAGGCUCUGGUCUGGUCUGGGGCCUGGUUGGAGCAGUAGUAGUGUGUUAGAGUAGUGUACUGAGUAAACUCUAGUACUGCUGGGGAGACCACAGUCUGGGUAGUAAUGUGUAUUGUAUAGAGUACAGGAGACUUCUAUGUGUUCUGUACUCAGACUGUUACUGUGAUGUUGCUGUAUGUCUCAGUUCUAAUAAAGUUGGAUUUGAAAAUAA